rnacentral:rRNA from 1 species
GUGAGGGAACGGCUCACCAACACUACUAUAGGGAGGGGCCCUGACAGGGGGAUCCCCCGCGCUGGAACUGAGACCCGGACCCCACUCCUACGGGAGGCAGCAGAGAAGAGUAUUGGGCGAUGGAGGCAGCAUCUGAUCCAGCCGUGCGGCGUGCAAGAGGACUGCCCUAUGGGUUGUAUUCUGCUUUUAUAUAAGAAGAAACACUCCCACGCGUGGGGGCUUGACGGUACUAGAUGAAUAAGGAUCGGCUAACUCCGUGCCAGCAGCCGCGGUAAUACGGAGGAUCCAAGCGUUAUCCGGAAUCAUUGGGUUUAAAGGGCCCGCAGGCGGCCUGUUAAGUCGGAUGUGAAAGCCCACAGCUCAACUGAUGAACUGCCUUUGAUACUGAUACGCUUGAGUUAUAGUGAAGUGGGUAGAAUGUGUGGUGUAGCGGUGAAAUGCUUAGAUAUCACGCAGAAUACCCGUUGCGAAGGCAGAUCACUGGCUAUAUACUGACGCUCAUGGGCGAAAGCGUGGGGAGCGAACGGGAUUAGAUACC